rnacentral:lncRNA from 1 species
AGAGAAGCAUAUGUUAGUCUAAUAUUUCAUCAAAUGUCACACACUUCCUCUCAUUUCUAGUUUUCUCAGGAAAAUUAAGACGGGUUAAAAAUGGUCUUCUCAGCCAUAUUAAGUUGCUUUGUGCCAUCAUCUUCCUCGUCCCGAGUCUUCAAUGAUGCUGGUGGGUCUAGUGUGAAGGAACCUAAGAGCAAGUCAUCGAAAUCUUCAUCAAGAGCUCCGAUCCCGGUCUCUUACUUCCCUGUUAACUCAUACCUCUCUCGCUUGUAGUGAUUAAUUUCAUGGCAAGGUGGAGUUAGAAUUUGAAGAAUAUCAAUCGAUUAUUCAUUCAGUCUAGGUAUCAUAUGAUGGGGUUCUUCAUCAUGCAGUUGCUUGAGGAGCGAUGAUGGAGUUUGUUUUAAUGUACAGUUUGAUGAUUAAUUUGCAAUAAUUUGAUUGAAGAAUAUUGUAUUAGCUAGAUCUUCAUCUUGUUAAUUUCCUCCAACUGCAUGCAAUGAAACAGGUGUUUGAUGAUACCAUGGAAUUACCUGCAAAUAAAUAAGACAUCAAAACCAAUCUGAAAAUUCAGAAACAGCAAAAAAUUAAGUUCAGUUGGCCGGGGAUUCCAUUGGAAAUUAAGAAUCGGUACUUGAAAUGGAAAUUAGUGAUUACCAUAUGGAUAACAGCUAAUAAAACCCCAGAAUCAAUUAGGGUUUAUCAUCAUAUAUUAAGCAAAAACUACGUGCAUUAUACAGAUGAUGAUUGGUAAAGGAAGAAGUCUUAAAAAUGCAUGCCAAUGGAAAAAUUAGGGUGAAAUUUGAUCAACAGAGUGAUGAUUAGGUAUGCAUGAUGGGAUUUUCCCAAUCCGUCCAUGAUGAUAAAAGCCUAUUAUUCUUGUAAACAUGUACUAAAAGAAAAAGGAAAAAUUAAGCCCUCCUACUUUUCCUUUUCACCCCCCAAAAAGUCUCCACUAUGCACCUCAAAUCAAACCUAAAAAUCUCUAUCACUCUCUUUGUGUCCAUUGGUUAAGAAGUACUAAUUUCAAUAUUGUGAUAUCUCACAAGUAUAGAAAAAAAGUUUUUAACACUAUAUAUACACGAACUCCUUUUAAUCUAAUAAAGUCAUGAGUAUCUGUCAUACUAAGAACAAACAAUAUCUAUGUGAGAGAAAAAAAGUUGUUAUAAAUAGUAUUAGAGUUUAUCUUUGAUUUCGUUGUAGAAGUUUGUUUGACCCCACGAGGGGUAUCUGUUUCUUUAAUCCCACAAUCCUACUGAACAUAGUUAAGACGUUGUAUUCGUAUGAGAGUCUAUUCAUGUAUUAAUUCCUCUUAACCUAAUACACUACUUAUAAAGUUGUGAGUACGUAUUAAACUUAGAAUAUGUACUCAUAGUAGGUCAUUACAAAUAUUUAUGCGGACUUACAUUUAAAUCCAAUAAAAUAGUGUUACACAAAUAUUAUAUAAGUAUGAAACACACUCUCAUUUGAGUAUAUAUAUAUAUAUAUAUAUAUAUAUGUACACUACCGAAUAAUGGUUCCUUAAUUUGAUUAUAUGUCUAAACUAGACAAUUGAUAAAAAAAAUACUUUGAAAUGAAAUUGAUGUAAAAGAAAAUAAUGAGUUAUAUAAAGAGUAAUUAAUGCGACCUUUGGCCUUAUAAUUAAGUAUGGUUAAAUUACAUUUUUUAAUUCUCUUAGUAUGUGAGACCCAAAUUAUUGAAUAUUUUUUUAGGUUGUUAUUCAAUUGAUGAGAAUGACAAAUUUAUGGCUACCAACAAUGAUGUUUAUUAUUUAAAGCUACUCAUUUUGAAGAAGUCGCAUACCAAUCCUUAAACUAAAUCAAUUAGGUCUUAACUACUUUUUUAUUUAAUUUUUUUUUUGUAAUGAGUUGGUCAACACUGAAGCCUUAAUUUUAUGUUUGAAAACUUUAUUUUAAAUACACUUCUAUUAAAAAUAAGAAUAAUGUUAGUAUAUUUAAUAGUUAUUACUACUUUGGUCCCACUCUGGAUGUGUUCGUUCUCUGAAGCUUCCCAUUUUCUCUCGAAGGUAAUUUUUGUCUAAUGUCUCUCUAAGUUUUGAAAAGUUUUCUCAAAGACUUGGCCACCACAUCCCCCCUGGACAAAAGUUUAAUUUGGUCAAAUUAAGCAGCCAGAAUUUUCUCCAGAAGCUCAAGGGAACCAUCUCACAUAUUAUUUGGAUUUCCUUUCUAUGCAAGCAAAUCAGCACUAUAAAUAGCGAACAUCUUGGCAUAAUGUUUCAUCGGUCAUACUUCCUCUCAAUAUUUCUGGUUUUCUCAGACAAAUUAAGAAGGGUGAAGAAUGGGGUUCUCAGCUAUACUAAGUUGCUUUGUGCCAUCAUCUUCCUCAUCCCGAGUCUUCAAUGAUGCUGGUGGGUCUAGUGUGAAGGAACCUAAGAGCAAGUCAUCGAAAUCUUCAUCAAGAGCUCCUAUCCCUGUCUCUUACUUCCCCGUUAACUCCUACCUCUCUCGCUUGUAGUGAUUAAUUUCACUGCAAGAGUUAGAAUUUGAAGAGUAUGAAUGGAUCAUUGAUUCAGUCUAGGUAUCAUAUGAUGGGGUUCUUCAUCAUGCAGUCGCUCAAGGAGUGAUGAUGGAGCUGGUUUUCAUGUAUUGUUUGAUGAUUAAUUUGCAAUAAUUUGAUUCAAGAAUAUCGUAUUAGAUCUUCAUCUUGUUAAUUUCCUCCAACUGCAUGCAAUGAAACAGCUGUUCGAUGAUACCAUGGAAUUACCUGCAAACAAAUAAGACAUCAAUCCCAAUUCUGAAAAUUCAGAAACAAGAAGAAAUUAAGUUCAGUUGGGGUUUCCAUUGGAAAUUAAGAAUUGGUACUUGAAAUGGCAAUAAGUGAUAACCAUAUGCGUACAGCUAGUUAAACCCCAGAAUCAGUUAGGGUUUAUCAUCAUGUAUUAAGCAAAAACUACUAAUUACAUUAUACAGAUGAUGAUCUAAAAGGAAGAAGUCUUAAAAGCCUAUUAUUCUUGUUUCCACAUGCACUAAAGGAAAACGGAAAAAUAAAGCCACCUGCUUUGCCUUUUCAUUCUCCCAAAAGUCUCCAAUAUGCACCUCAAAUCAAACCUAUGAAUCUCUGUCACUC